rnacentral:rRNA from 1 species
GAUGAACGCUGGCGGCGUGCCUAAUACAUGCAAGUCGAGCGAACAGAUGAGGAGCUUGCUCCUCUGACGUUAGCGGCGGACGGGUGAGUAACACGUGGAUAACCUACCUAUAAGACUGGGAUAACUUCGGGAAACCGGAGCUAAUACCGGAUAAUAUAUUGAACCGCAUGGUUCAAUAGUGAAAGACGGUUUUGCUGUCACUUAUAGAUGGAUCCGCGCCGCAUUAGCUAGUUGGUAAGGUAACGGCUUACCAAGGCAACGAUGCGUAGCCGACCUGAGAGGGUGAUCGGCCACACUGGAACUGAGACACGGUCCAGACUCCUACGGGAGGCAGCAGUAGGGAAUCUUCCGCAAUGGGCGAAAGCCUGACGGAGCAACGCCGCGUGAGUGAUGAAGGUCUUCGGAUCGUAAAACUCUGUUAUUAGGGAAGAACAAAUGUGUAAGUAACUAUGCACGUCUUGACGGUACCCAAUCAGAAAGCCACGGCUAACUACGU